rnacentral:rRNA from 1 species
GUGUACCGGAAGGUGCACCUGGAAAGUCAGGAUAGAGCUUGAUUAGUUAAGCAUUUCAUUUACACUGAAAAUACACUGUGCAAUUCAGUUUAUUCUGAUAAAUUUUAACUUACUUUAGUUGUUAGUUGUUAAAAGUUUUUUUAAUUAAAUUAUUUUUAAUAGGUUAUGUUUGUGUAUAGAAUAUAGAUAAAAUUAUUUAAGUGGUAGGUUAAUUGUAUCGUGAGAGGCUGAUUGAAAUAGUUUGAAAAUAUAUUUUUAUAAAAGUAGAUUAAUGAUUGUACCUUGUGUAUCAGGGUUUAUUAAAAAAAUUGCAAAUAUUUGUAUUUUCCCGAUUUGAAGAGAGCUAAAUAAAUGUGUUAGUUAAUGUGGAAUAAUUAUUAAUAACAUUUAUUUAGUAAUGAAACGUUAUCCGUUCUUUAAGAUAUCUGGUUUUCCGAGAAAUGAAUUUAAUUCAGGUUUAAAAAAGUGUAAUUUAAUUUAUUAAAUAAAUCAUUUUUUUAAGCUAAUGCCCUGGGGGAUAAGCUUUAGGGUAGGUUUUAUAAUUAGUGAAAUUUUAAAAGAUUUAGUAGGCUUAGAAUUAGCCAUCUAUUAAAGGAUGUUAUAAUUUAAUUUUUUGUAAGUUUAAUUUUCUAAGAAUUUAAGUUUUAUAUCGGAGCAAUGUAACUAAUUUUUAGUUACUUGAGAUAAUGAUAAAAUUAGUAUAAAAAUUGUUUAAAUUAUUAAAAAAAUGUGAGGUUACAUUAAGGAAUUAGGCAAAUUAGUACUCGCCUGUUUAACAAAAACAUGUCUUCUUGAUUAUAAUUUGAAGUCUGACCUGCCCACUGAAUUUUAUAUUUGAAGGGCCGCGGUAUUUUGACCGUGCAAAGGUAGCAUAAUCAUUAGUCUUUUAAUUGAAGGCUAGAAUGAAUGGUUGGACGAGGUACUGACUGUCUCGGUGUGAUUGAUAUUAGAAUUUAACUUUUAAGUUAAAAGGCUUAAAUAUAUUUAA